GUGUGUGUGUGUGUGUGUGUGUGUAUACUGCAAACUCCCACCUUUUUCUGCUCCUCCUCCUCCUCCCAUCUUUCACAAGGCCGGGACUUUGAAGAAGACUAAUCCGGGUUAUUUGCUUUCCCAUGCUUGUGUCAGGCCCCUCUCUCAAUUGACUGGAAAAUACAGUCUGCCGGGCCGCUCCCUCUGUCCCUGAUUAAUCCGAAAAGGAUGUGGCCGAUGGGCGUACAUAAAGCGGGCUGAAUGGAAACUGAAGGGGACCACCCCCCACACCCCCACAAACCCCUCUGCGCCCAUCCCACCUUAAACCCUGGUGAAGAAGGAAGGGAGCCGCUUCAGAGUCUUUAAGCUGUUUUAUGGGGAGAAAGCCCCCAACCAGCCGUGGCCCCCACGUGUUCGGACCCACACCUUGAGCAGGCAGCCGUGAAAUGGGGCCCUGUCUGGGAACUGUUGGCAGGCCGGAUGGAAACAGCAAAAGCGUGGUCCUCGUUAGCUGGGAUGACGCUAGCUAGCCCGUCGUCUCUGGGGAGCAUGCUUGGCUGCUGCUGCUGCUGCUACUGCCGGGAGGCCGAGAAAAGGAAAGGUGAAACAUAACCAGCUCUGGGGCCAAGGAUUAAAUCAGAGACAGCUUAUCAGCAGCUGCGACAACAACCGCCGACCUCCAGGUCACCCAACCCACUGACCUAUUCUGACCAGGGAGGCCGGACCACAUAAUUCUCUUGACCCCCAACGCAUCCCUCCCCUCCCACCCUCUUUCUCUUCCCCUGUUGGGAAACAGGGGCAGAUCAAGGGGUGGGUGGGGUGAUGGGCGGGAUGGUGACCUGGAGAAUAUAAGGAGUGGGGAAAAUUCCAGUGUGUUUGAAUCUCUUCACGUCCACCCUGGAAUCGGGGAUCGCAGCUCACAUUCUCCCCACACAAACCCAGCCCCUGUGACACGCCUGGAAUGCUGAGCCUUUUUACUUCUUCCCCAAUUUAGGUAAUUACCGCAGCGGUCACGGUGCUCAGAACAGAGACCGUGACCCUGGGCGGUGCACAGUGACAGCCCAUGUUGCUGAGGCGGCGCUCUGCUUUGUGCUGCCGAAAACAGACCUGCCGACAAAUUCAUCACUGACUUCUCUGCAACGGCCCUUAUUUAGUGGCUAUAAUGCCUGCCAACUGGUGCAUUGUGCCGUACCUGCGGUACCAAACAUUCCCAUGGAGUGUGUUGGAAUAAUGAUGGCCCGCCAUUGGUUGCCAGCUCUUUAUUUGCUGUUGCUCACUUAAUGCGUAGAUUCAAGGCAGGCACAUCUCAAUUUUAAACCAUUUAUCUUCAUUUUAUGCUUUUCUUUAUUUGUGUGCUGGUUGUUGCAGCUAUUUGACACCUAUAGCCAUGUAUGUAGUUCACAGAGAGAAUGGGGACCCUCCCUUGCUUCUUGCUGACUCGGGGUGUCUAUAAUAAUUUUACCCGCCUCAGAGUUAAUGGACCCAUAAUAGGCCAUGAAGCUGGUGGAGCAGGUUAAUGAAACAACUGUAGAAAUGAAGCUGAGUCAGUGAAAACCCACAAUAGCACGUUGCUUAUAAUUUUCUAAAUCUGUCAUUGCAAUUCCAUUUGAGUUAUCCUUAAGUGUUUUAUUUUGUGUGUGAUGCAAACUAUAUUCAAAUAACAUUCGUAUCUGUUUUGAACUUUGCCAAAAUAAACUUCAUUCAAAGAACUUGUUGUUAUUCAAAAGCAAACACUGGGAGGCGUUUGCUGACCUUGUAUAAUGCCCAUAUAAUGGCUGCAUGCUUACCUGCAGGUAUGAGCCGCUAUCAAGUAGACUAUCGCUCAAAAUCUUUGCUGUGUCAUCAAGCAAUAAGCAAAACUGUCUCUUGUUUGUGUUUUUUAGAAAACCGCUGAUGUCUUGUUUUUCCACCGAGUAAGACCAGUUAAAAUUUGGAUCAAAUUAAAUUAAAGGGCUCAAAAAAUAAUUUCUCUCACAUGAUUCGAAUGUAACUAUUUAAUGAUAUCACCUUCACAUCCAGUGGCACUGACGCAAACCUUCUAUUCAAAGGCAUGGUGGUGGUAUGUUUAGGGUCCAACACACGCUCACGCCCCCCAAAACCCGCGCGGGUCCCACAACCCUCCAUCUGUGUGGGGUUCAGGUUGCACCGUGUCCAGUAAAGAUUUUGUUUCACUGCAGGUGUUCCAUCAAAGUGCUUGCUGGUGCACGGCUGGACUCAGACCCCGGCUCACUUAAAUCACUGGCUGGCUGCAAAGAGCCAGCCAGUGAUUAGGCUGCACGCGUGUGCCGGGGCCAAAUGAUGGGGGCCCACCGCUGUAGCACAUCUGAGCCUUGUGGCCAGAGGUGUCAUCCAGAAGAUUUCACUCAGACUCCUCGAGGGUCCUCCUCCAUCCUCCUUCCUCUCCCCCUCUUCCUUUUUGUUCCCCGGUGGUUGUAAUUGAAAAUGUA